rnacentral:rRNA from 1 species
CNNAAGANNAAACGGGUGGAUCCGCAAAGUCGGCCCGCAAAUUCACGCGCGGCGGGCGGUGCGGGUGUCGGGUCCCUGGGAUGCUCUGUGCACCCGGCCCGGCGCCCCCGACGCCGCUCCGCCGCGUGCACUUUUCGCGGGCAGAGCGCCACGACCGUUCCCCGGCGGCCACAAACCGGCGGCGGAAGGUAGGUGAUCUNGCAGCNCACUGUUACAGCCNCCCCGGAGGCGCCCGCCGAGGGACCGAGGGACGGNNGCUUGCCNUCAGCNGCCGGCCUCCCCGGGGNAGUUCGACUGGCAGGGACUGGUUCCCCCCGUGCCUGCNGACCGCUCCUCGGACGGACUCCGGGUCGGCCGGGGCUCGCUCAGGGUCGGUGGCGAAUCUGUCGGCAUUCC